AUAUAGUUGCCUGAUAAAAAGGAUUACCUUGAUAGGGUAAAUCAUGAAAUUUAACGUUUCAUUCAUUAUAUU
rnacentral:tRNA from 1 species